rnacentral:lncRNA from 1 species
GUGAAUUUGGUUUUGUCGUGGAAUACUUUGGUUUCUCCAUCUAUGGUAAUUGAGAGUUUGGCCAGGUAUAGUAGCCUGGGCUGGCAUUUGUGUUCUCUUAGUGUCUGUAUAACAUCUGUCCAGGCUCUUCUGGCUUUCAUAGUCUCUGGUGAAAAGUCUGGUGUAAUUCUGAUAGGCCUUCCUUUAUAUGUUACUUGACCUUUCUCCCUUACUGCUUUUAAUAUUCUAUCUUUAUUUAGUGCAUUUGUUGUUCUGAUUAUUAUGUGUCGGGAGGAAUUUCUUUUUUGGUCCAGUCUAUUUGGAGUUCUGUAGGCUUCUUGUAUGAUCAUGGGCAUCUCUUUUUUUAUGUUUGGGAAGUUUUCUUCUAUUAUUUUGUUGAAGAUAUUAGCUGGCCCUUUAAGUUGAAAAUCUUCAUUCUCAUCAAUUCCUAUUAUCCGUAGGUUUGGUCUUCUCAUUGUGUCCUGGAUUACCUGGAUGUUUUGAGUUAGGAUCCUUUUGCAUUUUGUAUUUUCUUUGACUGUUGUGUCGAUGUUCUCUAUGGAAUCUUCUGCACCUGAGAUUCUCUCUUCCAUUUCUUGUAUUCUGUUGCUGAUGCUCGCAUCUAUGGUUCCAGAUCUCUUACCUAGGGUUUCUAUCUCCAGCGUUGCCUCGCUUUGGGUUUUCUUUAUUGUGUCUACUUCCCCUUUUAGUUCUAGUAUGGUUUUGUUCAUUUCCAUCACCUGUUUGGAUGUGUUUUCCUGUUUUUCGUUAAUGAUUUCUACCUGUUUGGCUGUGUUUUCCUGCUUUUCUUUAAGGGCCUGUAACUCUUUAGCAGUGCUCUCCUGUAAUUCUUUAAGUGACUUAUGAAAGUCCUUCUUGAUGUCCUCUAUCAUCAUCAUGAGAAAUGUUUUUAAAUCUGGGUCUAGAUUUUCGGUUGUGUUGGGGUGCCCAGGACUAGGUGGGGUGGGAGUGCUGCGUUCUGAUGAUGGUGAGUGGUCUUGAUUUCUGUUAGUAGGAUUCUUACGUUUGCCUUUCGCCAUCUGGUAAUCUCUGAAGCUAGCUGUUUUAGUUGUCACUGUUAAGAGCUUGUUCUUCAGGUGACUCUGUUAGCCUCUAUAAGCAGACCUGGAGGGUAGCACUCUCCUUAGUUUCAGUGGGCAGAGUAUUCUCUGCAGGCAAGCUCUCUUCUUGCAAGGCAGGUGCCCAGAUAUCUGGUGUUCGAACCAGACUCCUGGCAGAAGUUGUGUUCCACUCACUAGAGGUCUUAGGAUCACGUGUGGAAUCCUGUGUGGGCCCUUGCGGGUGUCAGGCGACUCAGCUGGCAAGGUAGCCCGGGGCUCAAGUCGAGCGGAAGGGACUUGUGCCCCAGAUCAGGCCCGGGUAGCCUGCUUCCCUAUGUACCACAGUCUCAGGUUCCGCCCGGUUGGAUUGGGGCAGGCGCUGUGUUCCACUCACCAGAGGUCUUAGGAUCCCGUGGGGAGUCCCGUGUGGGCCCUUGCGGGUGUUGGGCAAGACUCUGCUGGCAAGGGUAGCCCGGGGCUCGAGUCUCAAGUCGAGCGGAAGGGACUUGUGCCCCAGAUCAGGCCUGGGUAGCCUGCUUCCCUAUGUACCACAGUCUCAGGUUCCGCGCGAUUGGAUUGGGACAGGCGCUGUGUUCCACUCACCAGAGGUCUUAGGGUCCCGUGGGGAGUCCCGUGUGGGCCCUUGCGGGUGUUGGGCAAGACUCUGCUGGCAAGGUAGCCCGGGGCUCGAGUCUCAAGUCCUAGCUAUAUCAUUUUAAAGUAGGGUUCUAUUUCUAAUUCUGUCCAGACUCCUUACUGUAUGUUGUCCCACAUCACAUUGUCUCCAAAUCACUAGCCUCUACUGGCUGAUAGCUUCUUUGGAAUGUGUGAGUCCUUUCCAAGUGAAAUCCCAGACAUAUCAGCUUUAUAAUAUCUCUUCUCCUCCUUCCAAAGUGGUAGUUGGUUGAUGAAAUACAUCCAUGGUGCCUUGGUGUGGUUGUGUGCCAUAACUUUGUUGUGGUAUCAGAGGUGAUUGAGGCUUGCCAGUGGGUGCUUACACUUUGUGCCUUCUGUGUCUACUGAGAAUGGUAGAGUUGAUUUCCCAACACUGGAUAUUUGUUGCUGUGCAACUGCCUGUAUAGUAGCUUAUUUACAUCUUUGUUCUCUUGGCAAGGGCCAACAUUACUUUGUGCUGAGGGAUCUGUAUGACACCUUUAUGCUACUAUGCAGAUUCCUUUUUGCUAACUGAUAGCACAGGGCUACAGGGGUGACCAUUGAGCAUUGGCCACUAUGAUGAAGAAUGGCAAUCUAGCUCUGAGACAGGCGCUCAUCCACAACAAUGCACUUUUCUUCUCUUAGACUCUAACUGUAGAAUGGUUAAGGUGCUGGAGAUUAUAACCCACUGGAUAGAAGAAAAACAAUAACAACAACAAAAAAUAUUACAUCAAAGAAGCCAAGACAGAAAAAUGAUCUUCUCUCAAAGAAAAAAAAAGAAUUUCUGGAUUGAGGUAGACAGCCAAAGAGGACUUUAUUGAAUAACGUUGCAGCAGAGGUCAAGGAUACUUCAAUAGAGGAGAGAGACUAAACUCAGUUCCUUUGCAACAAGCCCUCGGAGGCACUGGACUGACCUAGUGGAAAUGUACCAGAGUACAUUGGUGGGGGUUGGUGGAUGCAGGCCAAUGUGAUUAGACCAUCUGUUUGCUAAUCGGAGCCUGAGGAAGUUGGGCUCCGAAUCUCCCACAGAGCCUGGAAGACAGGGACCUUGUCUUCAUUGCUUGAUUUUCAAAAGGUGUCUCUUAGGUCCUUGAGAAUGACAGACCCAGAGUAUAAAAAAAGGCAAGAGGCUAUAUGACAAUUUGAGUCUCAAGAGAUAGUGAAAGAACUUAUAGUUACACGCUUUUAGGAAGUAAAGGCUCUAGAGUCCAAGGCAAAGGAUAUAAAAAACUGGUAUCAGGAAAAAAGGUAUUCUGCCUAACUGAAUCCAGUCUGAAGGGUAGGCAAUGAUGCUGCUUUGGCUGGAUACAACACUAGUCAUUGGUCUUGAUAUCUGUGCAAUAGCCGUGUCCAUAGCAAGAUGAUACAAAGGAAAAGAUUCUGGAAUUUCAAAAUGUAUACCUAAGAGUAGAUUUAUCAAAUUCACAAGCCCAUAUAAAUAUAUCUUAAAACAUAGUACUUCACUAGCAUUGGGAGACUAUUGACUCAUUUAAUCAAUCAAACACCUGUGACUGGAUUUUCACCUUCUGUGUCCCAAUGUCUACCACCCCACACCCAUGCUGCUUUUCCAACUGUUGUGUGAAGGCGAUGUCUGUUCAUUGUAGGAUAGAGACUUUAGUUUCAUAAUCCAGAAGGUGGAGUAAGGGCAUUUGGCUUAUGGCAGCUUAUCAUCUCAGGCUGGCUG